rnacentral:rRNA from 1 species
GAUGAACGCUGGCGGCGUGCUUAACACAUGCAAGUCGAACGAUGAAGCCCAGCUUGCUGGGUGGAUUAGUGGCGAACGGGUGAGUAACACGUGAGUAACCUGCCGUUAACUCUGGGAUAAGCCUGGGAAACUGGGCCUAUUACCGGAUAGGAGCGUCCACCGCAUGGUGGGUGUUGGAAAGAUGUAUCGGUUUUGGAUGGACUCGCGGCCUAUCAGCUUGUUGGUGGGGUAAUGGCUCACCAAGGCGACGACGGAUAGCCGGCCUGAGAGGGUGACCGGCCCCACUGGGACUGAGAGACGGAGCAGACUCCUACGGGAGGCAGCAGUGGGGAGUAUUGCACAAUGGGCGCAAGCCUGAUGCAGCGACGCCGCGUGAGGGAUGACGGCCUUCGGGUUGUAAACCUCUUUCAGUAGGGAAGAAGCGAAAGUGACGGUACCUGAAGAAGAAGCACCGGCUAACUACGUG